UGGUGACAUGAAUCAAAGGGAAUCCAUAAGCUCUUCAUAUAAGUCCAUGGUUAGAUUCUCUCUCAAUGCUCUCUUUUAUGAAAGCGAAAGUGCACAUCAUAUUCCCCCACCUGCGCCAGCAUCCUACAAAGAAAGAACACUUCAAACUUCAAUCAUCGCCUCUCCGAA